UACGGGGGGUGCAAGCGUUAUCCGGAUUCACUGGGUUUAAAGGGUGCGUAGGUGGCUUUGUAAGUCAGUGGUGAAAUGCCGGAGCUUAACUCCGGAACUGCCAUUGAUACUGCUUAGCUUGAAUCACGUCGAGGUGGAUGGAAUAUUACAUGUAGCGGUGAAAUGCUUAGAUAUGUAAUAGAACACCGAUUGCGAAGGCAGUUCACUAGGCGUGUAUUGACACUGAGGCACGAAAGCGUGGGGAUCAAACAGG
rnacentral:rRNA from 1 species